CUCAUCUGUUCAAUGUCUAGUUAGCGUACAUUAUUUCAGAUGGUGUCUUGCUAGAAAGCAAAUCUGGGCAAAGUUUCUCGUUGUCGUGACAAAGUGAAGCAUUAACUCUUUCUCUCCUAUUUGUCGAUGCCAACGUUGAAUUGACUCCUUUUAACCAAAUUGAUUUUUGGAUUUAUAAACUUUGUGUUGUGUAAAAAGAACAUGCUACCUCCUAUAAUUCGAUACCAAAUAAAACACUUUCUGAUAACAAACCAAAAAGUUAUAAAAGUUUAAUCAGAACAGGAUAGUGACAUACAAAUGAGCAAAAUGAAUAUUACUAUCGGAACGAGGAAAAUAAUUACGGAGAGAAAGAGUUAAGACAGAAGCACAGUUUCAACAGCCUCUAGUGUACAGUGCUUCUCUUUGCAAUACAAAUAAUUUCAGGAACUUAAAGGGAGAAAACAUGUUCGCUUAGUGUCCACAUACACCUUGGCGUCCCCAGGUUAAGGAAGCAAACAAAAAUAAAACAAAAUACCCAACUACAUGUAUUUAAACACAGACAUAUGCACAAAUGUUUUGUAGCGCCCUGCUACUCCCAAUCUUUUCGUCUAGCAAACGUGUCAUCAUGUCCUGUACCGCGCUCCAUGAAGGGCUCUACAAGAACCAUGGUUUGUCUUGUGAAAGUGAACCUUUUUUAAACAAAUAAAAUGUAAAGUCUCUCUAUCUAGAUCUAGUCAACUAGUGUAUCACGGCAGUAGGGUUUGGUUGACAUCAAAUAGUUUACCUUCUGAAGACGCUCUUACACACACACACACUUUUUGUCCACUGAAUGUGGUUUGAAGCUAUACCAGCUGGAGUGCUCACUUUUGUUGUAGACCUCUAGAGUUCAUAGAAUAUACUCAUACUAAUGAAUCGUUUUAUGACAAAUGGGAUUGAAUAGGGUGUUCUUGUUAAUCAGCAACCUCCAUCUUCUCUACAUGUGUCCAGGACUGCUGUAAAGAUAUUUCAUGUCUGCAAUGUCCAGGACUGUUGUAAAGAUAUUUCACGUGUGCAAUGUCCCGAAGAUACUUCAACUUCAUCUUUAGACUGUUGAAAACAUUUCUCUCCAGUUCAUUGAAAGUUUCUCUACCAAAUCUAUAGUACUAGCUAAGUAGCAAGUCCGGGCAUUCUAGAGGGAAUUCUCAUACUUCAGCUAAUCAUGUUCAUUUAACAUUUCGAUUUCUUAAAGCCGGUCUAUAGAAAGAAAAAACGAUAUUGAUAAAUGUGGGAGCGAAAUAAUGGAACCUAAAGAAAAGAGGAAGAUGGGGGGGGGGGGAGAUUUUGAACAAAAUAAACCAAUGAGGCUAUGAUGAUCUUUGUUGCCAACUAAAUACACACAUUACUGAAUGCUAAAGGGCUUAGAAAUUCUAUUAGGCGGUGCUAGAAAGACUUAGUAAGAUAAGAUGAUCUUGGUCCACCAUUAGAAAUUCUGAGAACCACUGACUUUGUUAUAAAAUCUAGGUACACCAUUAGAAAUUCUGAGAACCACUGACUUUGUUAUAAAAGCUAGGUACAACUUUAGAAAUUCUGAGAACCACUGACUUUGUUAUAAAAUCUAGGUACGCCUUUAGAAAUUUUGAGAACCACUGACUUUGUUAUAAAAUCUAGGUACGCCUUUAGAAAUUUUGAGAACCACUGACUUUGUUUUAAAAUCUAGGUACACCAUUAGAAAUUCUGAGAACCACUGACUUUGUUAUAAAAUCUAGGUACACCAUUAGAAAUUCUGAGAACCACUGACUUUGUAAGAAGACGUAUGGGUACAUGUAUCGGGGACCCGGUUAGGGAGAUAGAGAGAUAGUUAGGGAGAUAGUUAGAGAGAUAGUUAGUGAGGUAGUUAGGGAGAUAGUUAGGGAGGUAGUUAGGGAGGUAGUUAGGGAGAUAGUUAUUUAGGUGAAGAGAGAAAAGAAUUAACAAAAGUUUUAACCCUCAAUCAUGAACAUAUUAGUCACACAAUAUAUCAAGCAAUACUACACAGUAUAAUUCACAUUCAAUAUAACUUCACAAAAGUAGACUCAACAUGAAGCUUUAAACUUUUCAACUAAACUGACUAAUUUGUGGAGCCUGAAACAAACUUCUGUUUCAAUGUUUUCAAACCAAAAGUUAUCGUAGCGGGCAGAACAAAAACUUGUAUCUUCUAAUGAACUCUUGUUACAUGUUUACUCAUCUGUACAGAAUCUUCCAGAAACCAAUGUGUAUGUAAACUCCCUGUUAGCACUUCUCAUGGGACCUUGACGCAGUACACCAGGUGACACUCACACCUAAAACUGAUGAACUCUGAUGCAGGAUACGUGAUUGAAUUGCACGCUCAUCACAUCCAAACCUUUCAGUAGUCACGUGUCGGUUUUAGCUUUCACCAUAUCAUUUCCUACCAUUGCAGAGGCGAGUCAAGGGAGGCAAUAAGAAUACAAAGUAAACGCUUCUCAAAACAACGCUUGUAUUCAUACGCACUCAAAAGUAGAAAAACAAAAGUGUUGGGUAUGUUUAGUUGAUUUCAAACAAAAAGUGUUGGGUAUGUUUAGUUGAUUUCAAAUGAAAUUCAAACCGGCAUAUUGGUCUGUAUCUCGUUAUAAUGUACACUUGUGGUUGAGUAUGUCACAAUAUUUUUUGUAGAAAUAAAAUACCUUCUGAAAAGUGUGAUUAAGACUAUCGGUAUACUAAUUUACAAAUUCAUUACAAAGUCUUUUUAUAAUUGAUUAAUGUACACUUUUUGAUACAAUCCAAGCAAUAAUAUACAGUCUUUGCAUUAACAUUAAUUUUUUUUUCUAGAGCUAUCUUUCAAUUCUUAUCAUCUAAUUCUCACUAUGCAUAUUUUCUUAACUAAGUCCCCUUUAGCUAAGUCCAGUCCUAUUUAGCUAAGAAAUUUUAAUUCUCUAUACAAAGCAUAUCUCCCUAAGCUUACCGUGUUUAUUUAACUAGAUCUAGUAUCAGUACAAACUUUGCCUGAACUAGUUGUGUUAGUCAUUCUUUAAAACGACUUGGGAAAGUAUGAAAGAAAGUAUAAUAUGAUGAUAGUGGAGUGGCAUACCAUGGGAUGUGAUGAUAGUGGAGUGGUAUAACAUGGGAUGUGAUGAUAGUGGAGUGGUAUACCAUGGGGUGUGAUGAUAGUGGAGUGGUAUAACAUGGGAUGUGAUGAUAGUGGAGUGGUAUACCAUGGGAUGUGAUGAUAGUGGAGUGGUAUACCAUGGGAUGGGAUGAUAGUGGAGUGGCAUACCAUGGGAUGGGAUGAUAGUGGAGUGGUAUACCAUAGGAUGUGAUGAUAGUGGAGUGGGAUAACAUGGGAUGUGAUGAUAUUGGAGUGGUAUACCAUGGGAUGUGAUGAUAGUGGAGUGGUAUAACAUGGGAUGUGAUGAUAAUGGAGUGGUAUACCAUGGGAUGUGAUGAUAGUGGAGUGGUAUACCCUGGGAUGUGAUGAUAGUUGAGUGGUAUAACAUGGGAUGUGAUGAUAUUGGAGUGGUAUAACAUGGGAUGUGAUGAUAGUGGAGUGGUAUACCAUGGGAUGUGAUGAUAGUGGAGUGGUAUAAUAUGGGAUGUGAUGAUAGUGGAGUGGUAUAAUAUGGGAUGUGAUGAUAGUGGAGUGGUAUAACAUGGGAUGUGAUGAUAGUGGAGUGGUAUAACAUGGGAUGUGAUGAUAGUGGAGUGGUAUAACAUGGGAUGUGAUGAUAAGGGAGUGGUAUACCAUGGGAUGUGAUGAUAGUGGAGUGGUAUAACAUGGGAUGUGAUGAUAUUGGAGUGGUAUACCAUGGGAUGUGAUAUUAUUCUAGUUGUACAGCAUGGAAUAGUGAAGGUCAUCAUUUGUGGGCUUAAGAGACUCAAAUCAGUUCUUUAAAAAAAAACUUGAUAAAAAGCUAGUGGUCUUGUCAAGAACAAUGGGCUUCAGAGACCUGUCUCAUCUACUGUGCCUUAACAUCACAUUGAUAGUAUGUCAUUACAUCACAUCGACUGUGUGUCAUUACAUCACAUCGACUGUGUGUCAUUACAUCACAUCGACUGUGUGUCUUUACAUCACAUCGACUGUGUGUCAUUACAUCACAUCGACUGUGUGUCAUUACAUCACAUCGACUGUGUGUCAUUACAUCACAUCGACUGUGUGUCAUUACAUCACAUCGACUGUGUGUCUUUACAUCAUAUCGACUGUGUGUCUUUACAUCACAUCGACUGUGUGUCAUUACAUCACAUCGACUGUGUGUCUUUACAUCACAUCGACUGUGUGUCUUUACAUCACAUCUACCGUGAGGCUUUACAACAUACCUAUGUGGCUUCCCAUCAUGAACUGAUUUAUCUCUAACCAACGUGACUCAGCUUUGUUACAUUCCUAGUCAGACUUCCGAAUUGAUCGAUAGUUCUAUUCUCUCUCUCUCUCUCUCUCUUUCUCUCAUAGGAUGUGUUAACAGAUAGCUGUGUAUAACUGUUUCUCUACUUGACGUUAGUGACGAGACAUCGUGUGGAAUGUUUCACUCAAACAGCAAGUGUGUGUCAAUUGGUUUGAAUGCUAGAAUUAGAUUCAGAUUUAUAGCUACCGACACUUAUUUGGUCACUAGACCCCAGAGCUAUUAAUAAGGGGCUUGUCUUCGAGUCUGAAGAUUAGGGAAAUGCAAAUACAUGUGUAUUGUUACAGCUAGUCCAAGAUGGACAUCAGUUUGUAGUCCAUAAGAUUCAAUUUGUUUUCACGGAUUCAUUUCCAAAGAACUAAAUGCAGCUGGAUCCAAUAAGAUCUGCUUCCAAUGUGUCUUUUAAAUGCAUUCAACUUAGUGUCAACUACUUUCAGAGAAGGCAUUGAGUAGAUUGUGUAGAAACUACUUUCAGAGUACGCAUUGAGUAGAUUGUGUAGAAACUACUUUCAGAGCACGCAUUGAGUAGAUUGUGUAGAAACUACUUUCAGAGUACGCAUUGAGUAGAUUGUGUAGAAACUACUUUCAGAGUAGGCAUUGAGUAGAUUGUGUAGAAACUACUUACAGAGUACGCAUUGAGUAGAUUGUGUAGAAACUACUUUCAGAGUACGCAUUGAGUAGAUUGUGUAGAAACUACUUUCAGAGCACGCAUUGAGUAGAUUGUGUAGAAACUACUUUCAGAGCACGCAUUGAGUAGAUUGUGUAGAAACUACUUUCAGAGCACGCAUUGAGUAGAUUGUGUAGAAACUACUUUCAGAGUACGCAUUGAGUAGAUUGUGUAGAAACUACUUUCAGAGCACGCAUUGAGUAGAUUGUGUAGAAACUACUUUCAGAGCACGCAUUGAGUAGAUUGUGUAGAAACUACUUUCAGAGCACGCAUUGAGUAGAUUGUGUAGAAACUACUUUCAGAGCACGCAUUGAGUAGAUUGUGUAGAAACUACUUUCAGAGCACGCAUUGAGUAGAUUGUGUAGAAACUACUUUCAGAGCACGCAUUGAGUAGAUUGUGUAGAAACUACUUUCAGAGCACGCAUUGAGUAGAUUGUGUAGAAACUACUUUCAGAGCACGCAUUGAGUAGAUUGUGUAGAAACUACUUUCAGAGCACGCAUUGAGUAGAUUGUGUAGAAACUACUUUCAGAGCACGCAUUGAGUAGAUUGUGUAGAAACUACUUUCAGAGCACGCAUUGAGUAGAUUGUGUAGAAACUGUAUCGGUGUGUGUACAUGAACUGGGCUGUGCUAUCGAUGUGUCUCAUUGAUCUGUCUGCUCUACUUGAAGGAUUCAGUCAAUCCCAACAUCGAGAGACAGACAAGAUCAAUGCUAGAGCGUGUGUAGAAGCAGGAGAGAGACAUAUUUCAAUCUGAUGUGCUCUUAUGUCUGUAUGUUUUCACACGAUUGGAUACUUGUUCACUGCAUUUGUUUUCUUGAAUGUAACUGAUUUGAUUCGUAAACUAGUCGAGUGCACUCUUGAAUCUAAGUUUUGAUGGGAAUCAAUGAUGAGUUGUCCUGGGAGCAAUGAAGGACAGGGAAAACCCAAAGAACGGAGAAUUAAUAUUCAAGACAAUCGUCACAGAGAUGGACCUUGUGGAAAACGAUGUUUUGUGGUGGCAACAGUGUCUUUGUUUUUAUUUCUGACCUUCGUAGCCCUGCCGGCCGGGGCUUUUUUAAUCAUUCAUGGUCGUCACCAGAACAGCAUUGCUUUCCAGUUAGGUGGCGCUGCUGUUGUUUGCAUUCCCAUUCUUGCUGCCAUCAUUCUUGCUAUAGUGUUUUUUGUAAGGAGAAACAGGCGCAAAGCAACAUUCACUAGUGUCAGUACAGCCAGGGUAUAAGUGUAGUUGGAGGACUUCGCAGGAUACAACAGAAGCACUCAUAUAGAGUCACAUUGAUAUUGUGCCAGGAUAUAACAGAAGCACUCGUAGAGUCAACAUGAUUUUGUAGAAAAUGUCAUUACACUGACAAGCAUCAUGAAGUUCUUGACACUAGCUAAGUGCUUUAGCCUUGUAACCACAAACACAAUAGGUCCAAAUAAAAGAAGUGGAUUAUUGAAUGUAAUUCAACAAAUUGUUGCCUGUUUGGACUCAUGAAUGAACUACCAUUCUGAUGUGUCAUUAAUAUUUGCCAUCCAUCCUUCCUUUAGUUCCUGCAUGUGUCAGCCUGUGACAUUCAGCCACUAGUCUCAUUAGUAGGCUGUCUGUGCAUUGAACUUCUACAUUGUAAGCUGUCUGUGCAUUGAACUUCUACAUUGUUCUCUGAACUGAGAUUAGGAAUCCAAGAACUUCAACUGAGAAUGUCCAGAGUAGAGUGUUACCCCUUCACUGCUCAAGAAUGAGGGAGGACCUAGCAGUACAAUGUUAUUGUGAAAUAGGAAAUCUCAUUUUUUACCUUUAAUUAUUUUAUCACUUUGUGACAUUUUGUGUAAAUAUUUUUAGUAACUUUUGUUACAGUGACCUGGAUUUUAAAUUAUUUGUAAUCUAUGUAAAAUACAACUUAAUAUGUUCUGAUAAAAACAUUUUCCUGACAAAAGUAUUUCAUGAAAAUGAUGAAGAUCUCCAGACUACACAAUUUAGACCAGGAUUAGAGUUUCUCCUGAGCCUACUUAGCUUGCUGUUUGGGGUAAAUAAAAGUUUCCUAAUACUGUACAAAUUGUGUACAUUGAAGAAAAUAAGCUUUGUGUGUAUGUAUAUAUAUAUAAAUGAAAAAAUAAAGAAAAUUCAAUUCUUCAAAAGUUUCAGAACCACUGGUCUCCCCCACUUGAUGAUAUGUUUUGUUUUUUAUUUUGUUCUUUGGUUUUGUUUUUUUUUUUAAUUCUGUGAAAACUUAACUUUGACUAAAAUCAACUUACAAACAUCCAUUAGAUCUUUAUUUUCUAUUGUAAUGAAGAAAGUAAUAAUUUUUGUAUUUGAACUGUCUCAGAUUGUACUGCUGACACGACCAAGUGAAAUUAGCAGCUACUUCUGACCAGGUCUGAACAGUGUAGUGCUAAUGUGCAAUGCUGUAGGUCCACAUGUUUUAUUUGACCUGCAAUAUGUUACAUUACACUUUUAUUUCGGGUUUCAAUUCAAGACAAAACUUUGAGUUAUUUCAGAGUUUUAUCAGAUGCAUUUAAAGCAUGACUUUGUAUGUUUGGUUUGAAUUGAUGAGUUACAUAGUCAUGACAUGAUACCACUAGAUAGGCUUCAUGGAAGAAGAGUGUCUUGGAAUGUCUGUGUCAGGAUGUUUGUGUCUGUGCUUUGCAUGUCAUCAUAUCAUUAUUGUUUGUAUUAGCACCCCAUGCCAGUCAGCACAUGUAUUAGCACCCCAUGCCAGUCAGCACAUACUAGAUUUGUUAUUCUUAGAGUCAGUUCCCAGGCUUUAUGUUUCUACAUCAUGUGUUAAAUGUUGACCUUUUUAUUAAUCCUAAGGACAACGAGUUGGUAAAUGGUACAAUACAACAAUCAAUGGACUCCUCUCUCAGUAGUGUAGUCACACCAUGAAACCCAAGAGAUCUAUGAGUAUGUACCAAGACAUAAACAUAGAGCAUGACUUUGUGUAAGUUCUGUUUUCACUUUGACUCAGUUCUCAAUUGAUUUAGUCAGCAAAUAGCUCAAAGUAUUUGCCAGUUUCAACUUCUGAAAUGCUAGACCAGAAGUCAAUUCUGUUUCACUAGUCUACCUAGUUGUGUGUGUAUCUGUCCAGUGUUUAGGCUAGUUGUACUUAACACUUGCUAUUUCUAAUCUUACUUGUACUGCACUGGCACAGUUAGUCACUGUUCUCUUACCAAAUCUUUGGUCACAUAGAAACCUUAUGUUUUUUUUUUUUUUUUUUAUCUCUUGUUUACAUUUAUUUUUGUAUUUCAUGCAACAACUUUGUUUAGAUCUAGAUGGAGCAAUGUCUUCAAAUUUAUUUCCAAACCUUUGAACCUGACACACUAUGUUGACUACAUUUACAAGAAUAAAAAUGUUUUGUUUUA